CAGGGGUGCUGGGGCCCUGAAUCACAUUUUUGAAGUCUUUGUACUGUAUUUUAAAGAGCUAGUCAUCAAAACCUGUCACUGCCAACCAAAAAGAAAAGCUAAACUUAAAAAAAAAAAAAACAAAAAACAAAAAGAAACCCAAAGAAACACACACACACACACACACACAACAGUACACACAAAAAUGUGCAGAUCUGUAACAUUUUUUUUUCACAGCUGAUAAAAAAAAAAAAAAAUACUACCGUUCUCCCCCAGACUCCCCUUUGAUACAGUAGGUAAACAAAAUAGAUUUUUUUUUUUUCCACAAAUAUCAGCAGACACUUUCUGGCACCCCACACUGCAUUGGCAUCAGUGUUUACAGUCCCAGUUCAGAUGUGCAUACUUCAGAUUGGAUACACUGUAACAAGAAUCCAACUUUGCAUAGACAUCCUUAGAAUCACAAUCAGUCACAGGGUUGCCCUUCCAAGCUGGCAGAAAAGGAACCCGAUCUUUAAUUUCCAGCUCCUCCUGGAAAAAAAAAAAAAAAAAAAAAAAGGAAAGAAAAAAAAUAAAAAAUAAAAAAAAAAAAGCCAACACAAAAGUUUCUUCCCUUCCUCCUGUCCUGCUCCUUCAUUUGGUUCUCCCGGACUUCCUUCCAUGUGGAACUACAAAAAGGGGUGGUUGGAGGCAAAAGAAAAAAAAUAAAAAUAAAAAAAAAAAAAGGAAAAAUUGCCCCCUCCCUUUCUACCUCCCCACCCCAUUUAUUUAUUUAUUUUUAUUUAUUUUCUUUUUCUUUUUUUUUUUUUUUGCAGGCUGAAACUUUGGCCCGUGUCGAGCUGCCCACACAGCGCCCUAACGGCUCCUUACGCGGGGAGUGGGGUGGAAAAAUCCGCGUCUCCCGGGGUCCACGAGCAGCGUGCAUGCAGCAGGAGCCGCACCGCCCCCGGGGCUGCACCGGGGCUGCACCGGGGCUGCACCGGGGCUGCACCGGGGCUCGGAGGGGGAGGUCAGCGGAGGUCGGCGGAGGUCGGUGGAGGUCGGCGGAGGUCAGCGGAGGUCGGCGGGGGUCGGGAGCCGGGCGGUGCAGCCCAGCCGGGCCCCCGGCACCCCCGCGAACAGCUCGUCCACCGAGGCUUUGUUUUUGGCCGACGUCUCCAUGAAGGGGCAGCUCCACUCCUCGGCCAGGGCCUUGCCCUCGCCGUACGACACCUCGCGCUCGCCCUCCAGGUCCACCUUGUUGCCCACCAGGAUCAUGGGCACGCGCUCGUACCGCUUGACGCGGAUGAUCUGGUCCCGCAUGGGCUUGAUGUCCUGGAAGCUCUGCUGGUUGACCAGGCUGUAGACGAGGAUGAAGCCCUGGCCGUUCUUGAUGUACAGGUCCCGCAUGGACGCGAACUGCUCGGUGCCCGCCGUGUCCAGGAUCUCGAGCACCGACGGCGACGAGUCCACCUCGAUCUCCUUGCGGUAGAAGUCCUCGAUGGUGGGGUCGUACUUCUCGAUGAAGGAGCCGGUCACGAACUGCACGGUGAGCGCCGACUUGCCCACGCCGCCCGAGCCCAGCACCACCACCUUGUACUCUCUCAUGGCUCCGCCGGCGCCCUCGCCGCGCCCGCCGCGGCCCCGUCGGGGGUGCGCGCCGCGGGGCGCCUGGGCUCGUCGGCUGCACGACCUGCCCCCGGGCUCAGCCUGGCGGCGGCGGCGGCGCGGCGGCGGCGGCGGCGCGGGAGGACAAUGCCGGCGGCCCGGGCGGCGGGAGGCGGCGGCGGCGGCGGCGGCGGCGGGCUGCCGGGGGGGCUGCUGCUACGUGCGCGCCGGCCCGGGCCGCGCGUGGCAUGGGGCCCCGCAGACCGUGCGCCCACCGCCGCGGCCCAGCGCGCUCUCCCCGCAGCCUCCGCGGGGCGACGGCUUCCUACUCGCCGCGCGCAGCCCGGCCCUCCCCGCCCCGGCGAGCAUGCCCAGUGCGCCGACGGCCGCGCCCGCGCCAGCCGCCGCGCCGGGUUUUCCGGGGGGCCGGGCGAGGGGGCGGGGCCGCGCGGGGAGGGGCGGGGCCGGGGCGGGGCCUCCCCGGGAG
rnacentral:lncRNA from 1 species